rnacentral:rRNA from 1 species
CCUACGGGGGGCAGCAGUAGGGAAUAUUGCUCAAUGGGGGAAACCCUGAAGCAGCAACGCCGCGUGGAGGAUGAAGGUUUUCGGAUUGUAAACUCCUUUUGUUAGAGAAGAUAAUGACGGUAUCUAACGAAUAAGCACCGGCUAACUCCGUGCCAGCAGCCGCGGUAAUACGGAGGGUGCAAGCGUUACUCGGAAUCACUGGGCGUAAAGGGCGCGUAGGCGGGAUAGCAAGUCAGAUGUGAAAUCCUAUGGCUUAACCAUAGAACUGCAUUUGAAACUGUUAUUCUAGAGUAUGGGAGAGGUAGGUGGAAUUCUUGGUGUAGGGGUGAAAUCCGUAGAGAUCAAGAGGAAUACUCAUUGCGAAGGCGACCUGCUAGAACAUAACUGACGCUGAUGCGCGAAAGCGUGGGGAGCAAACAGGAUUAGAUACCCGGGUAGUC